rnacentral:rRNA from 1 species
UGCGUAGGCGGUUGGGUAAGUUUGACGUGAAAUCUCCGGGCUCAACCCGGAAACUGCGUUGAAUACUAUCUGACUAGAGGAAUGGAGGGGAGACUGGAAUACUUGGUGUAGCAGUGAAAUGCGUAGAUAUCAAGUGGAACACCAGUGGCGAAGGCGAGUCUCUGGACAUUUCCUGACGCUGAGGCACGAAAGCCAGGGGAGCAAACGGGAUUAGAUACCCCGGUAGUCCUGGCCCUAAACGGUGCGCGUUUGCUGUAAGCGGAAUCGACCCCGCUUGUGGCGGAGUUAACACGUUAAACGCGCCGCCUGGGAAGUACGGCCGCAAGGUUAAA